AACAGGAAGAAAAAAAAAAAAGAGUUUAUAAGCUAACUGGCAGAGAACUCAAGACUUAAAGAAACCAAGUGGGUUACAACAGACUACAGAUCAACAACUGAACAAAACCAGAGAAAGGACUCAUCAACAAAGUGGGAAGUUUAGCAAAGAGACAGAAGCCCUGGGGGAAAACAGGAUAGAUACUCUGGGGCUAAAGAACACAAGGACUGAGCAUAAAAAUCCCACAAUGAACUUGAACGUUGAUCAAGUAGAAGAAUGAACCAGAAAGCUAAAAGACAAACCCCAAAUUUACCCAGGGAAAGGAACAAAAGGAAAAGCAAUGAAGAAAAAUAAUGAAAGCAAAAGACUGAAGUUUCAAAUUAUAGAUUAUUAGAAAGACAGAAGAAAGAUGACAGGCCAGAGAGCUUACAUAGAGGAAUUGUAUCAGAGCACUUCCUAAAUCUGUAGAUAUGUAGAUAUUUUGGUCCUGGAAAGAUGAGGGAUUACAAUAAAAUUCAAUUCAAAUGAUACAGCACCUAGACAUAUAUCAUCCAUUGGCAUCUAAAGAUAAAGAGAACAUCUAGAAAGCUGCGAGAACAUAUCAGAUACGAAGGAGUUCUAACAGUUCCUGCUGUAAAAAGAGUUUGAUUCAAGGCCAGUGGCAAAACAUCUCCUAACCAGGAAUACUAUACCUGGAAAAACUGUCCUACAGAACAGAAGAAAUAAAAGUUUCCUCAGAUAAAAGUGUAGGAAUUCUGGGCGGUGGUGGCACACACCUUUAAUCCCAGCACUUGGGAGGCAGAGGCAGGCGGAUUUCUGAGUUCAAGGCCAGCCUGGUCUACAGAGUGAGUUCCAGGACAGCUAGGGCUAUAUAGAAACUCUGUCUCGAAAACAAAAACAUAAACAAAAGCAAAAACAAAAACAAGUGUAGGAAAGUGUAGGAAGUUUGUGACCACCAGAUCUGUCUCAGAAGAGAUGCUCAUGGGAGCUCCUCAUGGUGAAGAGAAGGAGCCAUGAUUACCAAUACAAGAAUAUACGUAAGCAUAAAGUCAAACUCAUAAUGCUCUAACAAUGUGAUGAUGUGUAAACCAUUUCUAUACCCAGAAUGAAGAUUAAAACACAAAAGUAUUGAGGAUGGCUGAUGAGGAGGUAGCUCAGGGUUAAGAGCACUGACUACUCUUCAAGAGGUCCUGGGUUCAACUCCCUGCACAGCAACUCUCAAUUGUCUGUAACUCCAGUUCCAGGGGCUCUGACCCCCUCUUCUCACCUCCAAAGGUGCCAGGCAUGCAUGUGGUAUUCAGAUAUACAUGCAGGAAAAAUACUCUACACAUAAAAUAAAAGUACUGUAGCUACAACAGUUUUUAAGGAUACAUAAUACAUAAAGAUGAGAUUAAAAUAUAGAUGGAAGAACGUUUUUCUGCUGUAACUCAAGUUAAAGUGUGAGCAGCUUAAAAUAGUCUAAGAUAAGAUUAUUGUAAGCUUGUUGGGAGUUUUUUGAUUUUGUUUUUGGCUUUUGUUUGGUUGGUUCUUAGACAAAGGCUCACUGUAUAUCCCUGGCUACCCUGGUACUCGCUACAUAGAUCCGUCUGGCCUCACAGUCAGAGAUCUGCCUGCUUCUGCCUCCUAAGUGCUGGGAUUAAAGGUGUGUGCCACCACCGCCUGGCUAUUGUAAAAUAUUUUACUCUAGCCUCAUAGAAAGUCCCAGGCAAGGACUCAAAAAGUUAAAUAUCACAUAGUUUCUAUCAUAUUUAUAGCAAGAUUUUAAAUAAAUAUUUUUUGUUGUU
rnacentral:lncRNA from 1 species